rnacentral:rRNA from 1 species
UUUUAUGGCCAUAUCACGCUGAGAGCACCGGUUCUCGUCCGAUCACCGAAGUUAGUACUUAGAUGGGUGACCGCUUGGGAAACCUAGGUGCUGUAAGCA